CACGUAGGGCGCAAGCGUUGUCCGGAAUUAUUGGGCGUAAAGAGCUCGUAGGCGGUUGGGCAAGUCACGUGUGAAAUCUCCACGCUCAACAUGGAGGCGCCACGUGAGACUGCCCUGACUCGAGUCCGGUAGGGGAGCGUGGAAUUCCCGGUGUAGCGGUGAAAUGCGCAGAGAUCGGGAGGAACACCCGUAGCGAAGGCGGCGCUCUGGGCCGGUACUGACGCUGAGGAGCGAAAGCGUGGGGAGCAAACAGG
rnacentral:rRNA from 1 species